GGAUUAGAUACCCUGGUAGUCCACGCUGUAAACGAUGUCGACUUGGAGGUUGUGCCCUUGAGGUGUGGCUUCCGGAGCUAACGCGUUAAGUCGACCGCCUGGGGAGUACGGCCGCAAGGUUAAAACUCAAAUGAAUUGACGGGGGCCCGCACAAGCGGUGGAGCAUGUGGUUUAAUUCGAUGCAACGCGAAGAACCUUACCUGGUCUUGACAUCCACGGAAGUUUUCAGAGAUGAGAAUGUGCCUUCGGGAACCGUGAGACAGGUGCUGCAUGGCUGUCGUCAGCUCGUGUUGUGAAAUGUUGGGUUAAGUCCCGCAACGAGCGCAACCCUUAUCCUUUGUUGCCAGCGGUCCGGCCGGGAACUCAAAGGAGACUGCCAGUGAUAAACUGGAGGAAGGUGGGGAUGACGUCAAGUCAUCAUGGCCCUUACGACCAGGGCUACACACGUGCUACAAUGGCGCAUACAAAGAGAAGCGACCUCGCGAGAGCAAGCGGACCUCAUAAAGUGCGUCGUAGUCCGGAUUGGAGUCUGCAACUCGACUCCAUGAAGUCGGAAUCGCUAGUAAUCGUGGAUCAGAAUGCCACGGUGAAUACGUUCCCGGGCCUUGUACACACC
rnacentral:rRNA from 1 species